GGGCUCGUGGUCUAGCGGUUAUGACGCCACGCUUACAACGUGGAGGUCGGCGGUCCGAAUCCGCCCGGGCCCA
rnacentral:tRNA from 1 species